UUUAUAUCUCUCUCACUGACUAAUGUCCCUGCAAAAGCAUCACGAAGGGCUGAAUAUGGAAGGUUACCUAGUAUUCUCUUGCUUUACCCACUAGGGAAUUGGCCACACAGGGGUAUGCAACUUAAGGAGGCACUACAACUGCAACUAGACGUUCAAAAGGAGUCUUUAUGAGCAACUAGAGGUUAUUCAUUGUAGUUGAGGUGGACGAUAAAAUUUUAUCAUACUUCCAGGUAUCAUUAUUGCUGUCAACCCAGUUUCCAGUUUUGUUUUUGUUCUCACAGGGUUAUGAACCAUGGAAAAUGCAUACAAUAGAGAAUGCCUCUCAGGAAAAUCCAGCUGUAGUUGCUGAUAAACUUUCAUAUUCAAAUAAUUCUCUGAGUAAGGUCUUGAUUGGAUGAUUCAAGAAUUCUGUCCUUGCAUAGACUUUAGAAGUGAAUGUAAAUGUCGUUUUAAACAUAAAUUUCAUGAAGUUUGGUUUUACAUACUUUUGGAAAACAAGAAUUCAUGUAUUUGGGGAAUCCUAGUGAUUUUUGGCAUCUGUAUAUGUUCGUGUUGGGAAAUUAUAAUAAUUUUUGGCAUGCAGU